UUUGUCUUCCGGCGGGUGUUUGGGCAGAUGGAGAUGGUCAUUGGUCAACGACCGGCGACGAAUGGUGACCGGCGAACGUUGACGGAUGGCGGUGACAUAGACGUAAACCCACGGCCGACCCAUUUCUUCUCCCUUCUUCGUUCUUCCUACGGCUGGCUGCUUGGGUUCAUGACUUUUUUGGGCAGCGACGGCGGACGGCGACCGGCGGAUGGCAAUGGUGACAGAGGCGACGGACGGUGGUUGGUCGACGUUCGUCGUUCGGUUUCUUCCUCGUACAGUUGUUUGGGUUCAUCUUCCAUCAAAUUUUGAUGACUUGGUUUUCUUUACCUGUCUAUGCUAGGUGGUUUUGACACAUGCAUACAUGACUCUAAAAAGAGGGAUGGACAUUUGUGGUACAAACAGUUCACAUGCAAGAAGCAGGAUUCAAGAAGCAACGAAGAGAUGAGAAUAGGGAACAUGUUAACAUCUUGCAAGGCAAGCAUGACCAUUGAAAUAAACAGCAACACAACCAAGUGGCUUGUGCAUAAUAUUCAAUAUGCACACAAUCACUGCCUACAUGCCUGGUGUUGCACCUGCCUACAGUCCAAGAGUGGCGUGAUCGAGCACCAGAGGUAGGAUGGCGAUGAUACGAUGCUCAAUGGCCUAUCAGCGUUGGUUGGAGGGAGAUAGUUCUCGUUUUAGAGAGUAAGCGAUUGGGGAGAGUGGAUAAUCGUUGUAUGACCAUCAAAAUGGGGAAGGGAUGCCAGAGGUUGUGAUGGGCAGUUGGAGGUCCAUCGAUGUGAUCCCUUGACAUCAAAAUUCAGGCUCUUUUCGACAGAGGGAAAAGAAGGUCUUACUACCAGGGUUGGUCAGAGGGAGGAGAGCUUGACAUUGGGCCUUCAUUUUUUUUUAUUUAAAGCUGGUUCAUCCAAUUUCAACAGAUCGGACGGCAAUCCGACAUCAUAACGGCUAUGAAAGUUAACUUUCGUAAUGAGAAAGUUUAUAUAUAUAUAUAUAUAUAAGAAAUUAAAAUCAUCCGGCUA